AUUAUUUAAGAGGUAAAUAUUGUUAGUAAAUAAAAAUUACGAAAGCAAAAAAUUAUGGCGGUAUUUUAAGCUUUUCAGAGGAAUUUGCUCUUUAAUGGAUAAAACACCUGAAUCUUACUUAAAUUUGUUAAUUCAAUUUGUAUACCACUAUAAAAACAAUUAAUAACUUUAAUUGUUUAAACUUAUUAAAUUAAAUUAUAUUAAGUCAAGGUGCAGUAAAAAUUUAAGAAUGAAGUGAAUUACAUUUCUUUUUAGAGAAAGAAAUUUAAAUAACAUUU
rnacentral:rRNA from 1 species